rnacentral:rRNA from 1 species
GUACACACCGCCCGUCACACCAUGGGAGCGGGUUCCGCCAGAAGUAGGUAGCCUAACCGCAAGGGGGGCGCUUACCACGGCGGGGUUCGUGACUGGGGUGAAGUCGUAACAAGGUUUCCGUAGGUGAACCUGCAGAAGGAUCA